rnacentral:rRNA from 1 species
GAUGAACGCUGGCGGCGUGCUUAACACAUGCAAGUCGAACGAGAAAUGGAGACGGAAACCUUCGGGCGGAAGGCUUCAUUUCGAGUGGCGGACGGGUGAGUAACGCGUGGGUAACCUGCCUCAUACAGGGGGAUAACAGUUGGAAACGACUGUUAAUACCGCAUAAGACCACAGCACCGCAUGGUGCGGGGGUAAAAACUCCGGUGGUAUGAGAUGGACCCGCGUUCGAUUAGCCAGUUGGCGGGGUAACGGCCCACCAAAGCGACGAUCGAUAGCCGAUCUGAGAGGAUGACCGGCCACAUUGGGACUGAGACACGGCCCAAACUCCUACGGGAGGCAGCAGUGGGGAAUAUUGCACAAUGGGGGAAACCCUGAUGCAGCGACGCCGCGUGAGUGAAGAAGUACUUCGGUAUGUAAAGCCCUAUCAGCAGGGAAGAAAAUGACGGUACCUGAGUAAGAAGCCCCGGCUAACUACGUG